GCCACGGUGGUCUAGCGGUUAGAACGCUGGUCUUGUAAUCCUGGGGUCUCGGGUUCGAUUCCCGGCGGUGGCC
rnacentral:tRNA from 1 species